rnacentral:rRNA from 1 species
UUAUUAUUUUAUUGGGCGCUCAUCCUGGCCCUCGCGUCCGCGGUCAUGAUGGCCACGGCCGAUGACUGCACUAUCGCCGGCGCAACGCCGCCCACGGCCGUCACCUACCGGGACUACGGCGCCUUCGUGUACCUGGUGUGGGCCAACGUGGCCGCGGCGGUGCUCGAGGCCGCGGCUGUCCACCUGCAGCUCAGCGGCGCCGGCGACGAUGAUGACGACGAGGGAAGCCGGCUCCCAGGAGUCGUGCUGGUCGUCGUCGACGUGCUGGCGCAGGCGCUGCUCUACUCGUCGACGGGCGCCGCGUACGGUUGUGGGAAGGUCGGCGUCGACGUCUGCGUGGCGUUCGGCGCGCAGGUGGGGCGGUCCAAGCUGCUGUCGUUCGGCGCCAGCGUCUCCCUCGGCCUCGCCGCCGUCGUCAAGGACGUGUCGCUGCCGUUCAAUGUCUGGCCCGGCUCGUCGGACUGA